CCCUCGCCUGGAGUUCUGUGAGCUGGAGCUCAGCAGAGUAGCCUCCCGGCUGCUCGCCCUAGGGCGGGCCGACUCGCAGGGCUGAGUGGCUCGUGCCCGUUCCAGGAAGGGUCCUUUAGCUGGACCCUGGAGGCCGGGAGGCCCCCGCAACAGGGAGAGGAGAGGGGCGGUGUGCAGGCGUCAGGCUUCCUGUGGGUGGGCUAGGAGGGUGGGCUCAAGAUGGGGCCCCAGGCUCGUGCUCUUGGCCACCUGCCACCUGCCAGGCUCCUGGAAGCCUUCUCCCAGUGAUGGGAUGCCCCAGGGUGCAAGGUGGUGCCCCAGGACUAUGUCCUGGCACCCCUACUCCGCAGGCGUGCUCAGCCCCGCCCCCAGUGGGGGAGCAUCUCCCUGCACUUCCUAGUGGAUAGAGCACCUUCUCACCCCUCCCCUCUCUGUGGGGGAGCACUUCUGUCUUUCCUGUGGGGAGAGCAUCUCUUCACUUCUCUCUCUCUCUCUCUUUCUGUCUGUCUCGGAAGGAGCACCUCUCUGUCCUUCCCUGUGUGUGGAGAGCACCUUCUCCCUGAUGGCAGGAGGAUCAUUUUCUUAUCCUCAGGAGCAGAGUGUUUGUUCCACUCAGGGUUCAGCACCUGAACAGUAACUGGCUUUGGAGCUGCAGCACCCGUGCCCUGAGCUGGGCCCAGAAGAGGAAGUUGGAGGAGGAGGCUGAUGUCUUGUCUCUGCCUGAGUGCUCCUGGGACGGGAUGGGGAGCUCUGCACCUGCCCGGCUUCUCCUAGGCUUUAAUCUUCAAGAAAUCUCUCUACACAAGCACAUUUGUCGGUUUCUCAAGCAUUGCAAUGAAAUCUGCAAGACCGCUCUCUUCAUAGUUCCCGACAUGUCACGUGUGCAUCUGCCUGCUCCCACAUGAAUGAAGAACUGCUUACUUUUUCAUCUGCAGUCCAGCGUUUGAGUCUUCAGGACGUGGACCCUACUCACAUAUUCAAUAAGUGCGUCUACGGAAUUUUCCUUGUCAUAAAGAAGUUCACAAACAGAGACGAUGACGACUGCUACACACGAGUCAUGCACAGUUUACUCAGAACAGAAGCAUUUACAAUCAAGGGGCUCAGGGGACACACCAGCUCCUUCUCCACGGUCUUAGUAUUACUCUUUCUUUUUAACAUUAUGUAGAAAACAGACAUUUACAUUUGAUUUGUUUAAACACUGUAUAGCUCUAGAACAAAACAAACAAAACAAAAACAAAAACCCAGAACUAAACCAGAUCUAUGAUGUUGCAGGGUGGGUCACAGGGCUGGCGUCUGGCCUGCACAGACAUGUCAGCACCCCGGGGACCCACUCUGAUCCAGGGUGUGGGGCCCCUUGGGCUGAAGACUUGGCGGUGAUAUUGUGAAACAUAGGUGGGAGAAAGCUCCAGAAUUCCUUUGUCCACAAGUGAAUUGCACAUUUGGAAACUCAA